rnacentral:rRNA from 2 species
UUGUCUGAGCGUCGUU